rnacentral:lncRNA from 1 species
UCUCUACCACGAGUAAUGAGUUAAUAAUUUAAUUAUUUGAAAGUUAUGUAUUCAUAACAAUUGCCAUGGUAAAAUGCAAAAUACAUCUACGUUAACUAUUCUGAGCUUUGUGCGUACAAAAAAGCCCAAAUUUCAAUUUGAUGUUAUUUCACACCCAUUUAUUCACGGAUAUCUGUUGUGCCGAUAACACAAUGAACGAUUCAAGCUUCAAAAUGCUUAGUUUUUAGUAAAAGGGAUAAUUCUUCUGCAGAGAUGUAAAAAUAUGUUUGAAGAUUCGUUGAAACACUAUUGAAACUUUAAAGUUCCUUCCACCAAGUAGUAACAGAACCACUGUCGUAUAGUCAUCGCGCGCGGUUUGCGCAUUCCAGUUUUGCAUCCCCUCGAGCGCAAUCAUGUGUUGCAAAUCUGGUACGGUUUUUAAAAGCUAAUUUACAAUUCGUUCAACAAUCGGGCGAGCCCCAUCGACAUCCAUUGAACUCUUAUGGCACUUUGGCACCGCAAAGUACCUACACUGCACUUCUCUCUUUCUCUCUGUCUAUGCGAAGUGGCUGCCUUCUGUUUGUUGUUACUGGUGUGGUUCGAACCAAUCUUAUUUAUUAUGCCAACACACAAACUCAUCGACGACCAUAGCGCAGCAGAAGAGAAGCAUCGGCGAAGUUUUCGAAGUUGGUCUGCUGUGCUGUGGUCUCGUCGUCCCUAAGAGAGAGAGACGGAUAUUUUCGGUUCCCUUCUGCUGCUGCUAUCUUGGGCCGUUGCUUCUCAUCUGUAUUCGUGCGAAAAGUGGAUCUUAACAAAGCGGCUCCACAAUACUUAUUGCCGGGCUUGGGCCGCGCAACGGAUUCAGCUGAGCAAAUCUUCUGAAGGGCCGUUUCCACGCUCGAUGGCCAUUGUUCUGGUUUUAAAGAUGGGGCUUUACCGGAGUUCGGUAACGAAAAGUAUUGACGUCGUUGUGCAUACGGAUCAGAUUGGUAACUCACAAUUCAUGAGCGAUUCGGAAUCACUCAGCUAGUGUCUUGUAUUUAUGAACAAACCAAUUGACCUGCAGGGUGGAUGAAUCGCUCUUCUCCGAGUGCUCGAUUCCGCGAAUUACAACUAAGGAACGCGCAUUUGAUCUACAUUCGGAUGGAAGCAUCUCGCUUGACAGAGCAAAAUUAUGCUUCUCUCGCUUAUUGGCCGCAACAUAACCUCAGCUCUACUGAGAAAUCCCUCGCUCCAUGCAAUACCUCACCGCCUCACUUACAGACCAGCAUCGAUCGACAUAAAUCCAUAUACUUAGCGUAUCGACUGCCAGCUUUGCUCUGCUGUAACGUAGUGUGUACUCUACAAUCAUUCGAUUAUUAUAUUAAUUAUGAAUCUCCCAUCGACUGGGCCGCUGUUUAUAAACAUUCUGCAUUUGUCUUGCGCAUUUCGUUUUCCACUCGCAUUCUGCGCGCAUAAUUGGUUUGCUAAGGGUCUGGAAGCGCACUUUGAAGUUUCACGCUCAUCAGCAGUGAUCGCGGCACCCAGAAAGAGAGAGAAAGAAAUGAUGAGACACGGAAUUUGCUCCAAUUUUCUGCGAAUAAAGAGGUUUCACAGAACGUGCCGCUCGGAUAAAUGAUGUUUAGUGAUCGAACCAAUGUAUAGACAGAUUAUACAUUCCGUAAUGUUUAAAAGGUGGUGAAUUCAGUUUGAAAAUCCAAGUCAAACGUUUUUAUCAGACAUACUCCUAACAGAGACAUCGAGCUCUUAAUCCAUC